rnacentral:rRNA from 1 species
GAUGAACGCUGGCGGCAUGCCUUACACAUGCAAGUCGAACGGCAGCACGGGUGCUUGCACCUGGUGGCGAGUGGCGAACGGGUGAGUAAUACAUCGGAACGUACCUUAUCGUGGGGGAUAACGCAGCGAAAGCUGUGCUAAUACCGCAUACGCCCUGAGGGGGAAAGCGGGGGAUCGCAAGACCUCGCGCGAUUAGAGCGGCCGAUGCCUGAUUAGCUUGUUGGUGGGGUAAAAGCCCACCAAGGCGACGAUCAGUAGCUGGUCUGAGAGGAAGGUCAGCCAAACUGGGACUGAGAAACGGCCCAGACUCCUACGGGAGGCAGCAGUGGGGAAUUUUGGACAAUGGGGGCAACCCUGAUCCAGCAAUGCCGCGUGAGUGAAGAAGGCCUUCGGGUUGUAAAGCUCUUUUGUCAGGGAAGAAACACCGGCUCUAACACAGUCCGGGAAUGACGGUACCUGAAGAAUAAGCACCGGCUAACUACGUGCCAGCCGCCGCCGUAA